AAUGAAUUGCCUGAAAAAAGGGUUACCUUGAUAGGGUAAAUA
rnacentral:tRNA from 1 species